rnacentral:rRNA from 1 species
UACGGGGGAGCAAGCGUUGUUCGGAUUUACUGGGCGUAAAGGGCGCGUAGGCGGUCAGCACAAGUCAGUUGUGAAAUCUCCGGGCUUAACUCGGAAAGGUCAACUGAUACUGUGCGACUAGAGUGCAGAAGGGGCAACUGGAAUUCUCGGUGUAGCGGUGAAAUGCGUAGAUAUCAAGAGGAACACCUGAGGUGAAGACGGGUUGCUGGGCUGACACUGACGCUGAGGCGCGAAAGCCAGGGGAGCGAACGGG